rnacentral:rRNA from 1 species
AUGCCUUACGAUGAGCAGUACACACCGUACAUCAAGCAGGCAGGACUACUCCCGUGGAUUCUGUUGGUUAGCCGGUCCAUGCCGAAUCUGAACGCUCCACUGGUGUCUGCUCUUGUUGAUCGGUGGAGGCCAGAGACCCACAGUUUCCAUCUUCGGACCGGGGAGAUGAUCGUGACGCUCGAGGAUGUCUCGUUGAUCACCGGUCUUGCUAUCGACGGGAGGCCUCUAUGUAUGAGCACCGAUUCUGAUGGGUGGCGCGAGCAGAUGAUUGCUCUUAUCGGUAUGGCUCCUAUCGAGGCUGAGGAUGAUGUAGAGGAGGGAGAAGAGAAGAAGAAGAGGGAAAGGAAGGCAGCCGGAGCUGCUUUCACAUGGAUUCAAAAUAACUUUGCGACGUGCCCUCCGGAUGCAACUGAUGAUGUGAUCCAGACACAUGCUCGUGUGUAUAUGUGGUACAUUGUGUCGAGGACUUUGUUUCCUGACUCCACUGGCAAGAACGCUCCAUGGAUGUGGCUG